rnacentral:rRNA from 1 species
UACGUAGGGAGCAAGCGUUGUCCGGAAUCAUUGGGCGUAAAGCGCGCGUAGGUGGCCCCAUAAGUCCGCUGUGAAAGUCAAAGGCUCAACCUUUGAAAGCCGGUGGAUACUGUGGGACUAGAGUACGGAAGAGGCGAGUGGAAUUCCUGGUGUAGCGGUGGAAUGUGCAGAUAUCAGGAGGAACACCAAUAGCGAAGGCAGCUCGCUGGGACGUUACUGACACUGAGGCGCGAAAGCGUGGGGAGCGAACAGG